rnacentral:misc_RNA from 1 species
CACCACUCGAGCACCGCUCGGUGUUGGGGCGCGCGGGUCCAUCAGCGGCCCGCGGCCCCGAAGGAAAGCGGCGGCGGCCCCAGGAGCCCUCUGCGUAGUGAAACCCUCGCACCGGGAGCCUUCGGCUCGCCAGCCUGCCAACUCUGGAAAAACCCCCUUCGCGGGGCGCUUCCAUCU